AGCUCUGUAAGCGUAUACCAAAGUUGUUGCAGUUAAAACGCUCGUAGUCGGAACUUGGCGGGCGAUUUGCUACAUUCGUAAGAAUGAUGGCAGAUCGGCCGCCUUUGUGGAUGGGGGCCUAGUGGUUCUUUACUGCAUCGCUAGGUCGCUGCCACCGUUUACUGUGAAAAAAUUAGAGUGUUCAAGGCAGGCUCGCCAGCUUGAAUACAUGAGCAUGGAAUAAUGGAAUAGGACUACGGUCCCUAUUUCGUUGGUUUGACGGACCGAAGUAAUGAUUAAGAGGGACAAUUGGGGGCAUCCGUAUUUCGUAGUCAGAGGUGAAAUUCUUGGACCUACGAAAGACGAACAACUGCGAAAGCAUUUGCCAAGAGUGUUUUCAUUAAUCAAGAACGAAAGUAGG
rnacentral:rRNA from 1 species